UAUGCUGCUUUAAAAAAAAAAUCCUAUCUCAUAACUCUUGCUUUUACAUCUCCAUUUCAGACGAAAUGAUCUUAAAGGGUGAGUAGUAGUCAACUCUACCGUGUUUUAUAUACAAAGGGAGUAAGAAUGAAAGCUACACUUUCCGUUCAACGCAAAAAUACGAACAGCUGUUGAGGGCGCAGAAAGAGAAGCCGCCUCUAGCAUAACCGUAACAAUGGCUUUUUCCACAAAAUCUCGAACCUUUUAUUUUCCCCUACAUUUAACAUCUCAACGAGGGCAAUAAACAGCCCAGGAAGAAGACCACGACAAGGAACCCUUUCCUCUAUUUAAAAAAGGAAAGAAAAAGAAAUUAAAAAACAAACUUAAUUGGAAAAUGAUUUCAAAAGCCGUCUUUGGACUCCCGCGGCAUCUGAACUGCUGAUAAACUUUCCUCUUGAGCAGAAAAGCGGAAACAAAAAGCAAUGAUUUUGUGUGGCGGUUUUUUGGCGAAUUCCAUAUUUUGAUUUGUCAUUUGAGCUGGAGCUGACAUUAAGGAUUUUUUAUGGCCCUCGCUCAACUUAUUUUACAAGGAAGAUGCAUCACUUUCUGUUUUAUGCAACAAGUGGAACGCAAAAUGCCAGAAGGCAUCUGUAUGCAAAUUUCAUCAGUGAUGUAUAAUGGAUAGACGUAAUACGAUUGAUGAAGAUUACAAGAGCCUUGCAGAGAUGGUGAAUGGGGUUUAAUUCAGCGGUACACAGAGUGAUAUGGAAAUGGUGUGCAAAAUUAAGCAGUUGUUUGAUGCACCGGCUAUUUGCAGGGUGCAUACAAAUGGAACGUCAAUGUAUUUCUGCAAGACACUAGAUGAGAAAAUACCACAAUCAAUCAUAAUUACUCUGGCAAUUCAAACAAGAUUUUGAGCAAAAUGUGUAUUAGAGCCAGCAUUUUAUUUGAGUUGAUUUGAUUAUGUAAAUGCGUGUCUGAAUUACUGGGCAGGAGAUAGGCUCAUCCAAGCAUUAAGAAACUACGUGAGGGUAUAAAAAAAACAAAACUAAGACGACCCGCGCUCACGCACGCACGCACGCACGCGCACACACACAAAUACCGUGCGCACGCGCACACACGAACCGUGUGAAUGUCCGCUGCGUGCGAGAAACCUGCCGAACAAUUAGCAUUGAGGGAUUGCAGGACCAGGGAAGUGGAAAAGGAAGCAAAAGGAAUUGAAAUCCUCCAGCCCAGCCCCGUGCUCCCAAUACCAGGGGCACCGGGAGAUUGCAUCGUGCAUAUGCCAUAUUGAUGCCACCAUAUUUUGACAGUUUCCAUAAUGGAGGGCGGGCAGACAGUAAUUAGAAGCCCGGCACAUCCUCGCCGUUUGCGUGCCAGCAGCUUUACGAUUGAGUGGGACGAGGGCUAUGAGGUUAGUCUUUUAGAUUGGUGUCCUGCUUUGUGCAGAGGGAGGAAAAGAAGGUCUGCAGGAGAACAAGAGGGGUGGACGUGCGUGGUGGGGUGGGGUUCCCGUUGGAUUCUGGGGUGGGGGAUGGGGGUUGGAAGCAUUGAGACGGUCUGGGUUGUUUUCUAAGAAAAGACUGGACAUGAGAAUAUGGAAUUGUUGCCAUUUUCUUUUAGCGACGCAAGGGUUGGAAAUCUUGCGAGCUGCUUUCCUCGUAUACUUCGGAGGUCUGGAAAAGGAGUUAGGAACAACCCCGGGUGGGACGUUCGCUAGCAAGCGGGUGAGGAGGGUCAGAGGGCAACCCACUGCAUGCCCCAUUCUCUGCCCCUAGCAUCAGUAAUCGUGUUUUGCAGGAAGAAAACCGCAGACUAACAUCGUGUCGGCGACAACCUGCUUGGUGGGGGUCAGACAUGUUGUUGUCGCAGCGAUGUCGCUCACGGCGGAGGCAAGUCUUGCAGACGCGAGAAGGGAAAGGCAGGUGGAGGAGAUGGAGAAUUUACUUUCAACAGUGGGCAAGGUGCAGCCGUCGGUCUUUUAUUUCAGUCUGUCGUUUUUACAUGCCACAUCCACGGCGCUUCAUUUAUUUAGUUCAGGGUCGAGGGAUUAAGCUAAAUCUCAUUUUGUUUCGUUACUUAGACGGGACACAAAUAUUGCCAGUUGACCAAAAAAUAAAAAUCACACUCAAGCUAGCUUUAAAAAUAAGCGAAACAUAACGGUCGGUUGGCGUGAAGCACGUGAAGUAGAUAUGUAGGUGAAACGCCAAUACAGGCAGGUGUACGGGUCAGGGGAAGUAAUCCAAGAAUUUACCCGAAACGUUUCUGAAACAGAAAACCGACAAACACCGAGAGCAGACAUCGGGGAGUAACUCGAGGCGACUGGGAGUCACAAACCUUUUCCUUUACAACCUGCUAAUGUAACUAUCAGUCAUGGAGUCCCAAGGCUCUGUGGAAUGGCAGCACGUGAUGGCUACUUCCCCCUCCCUACCUCUGGUGGUCAAGCGUACUUACAGUAUUAGUACAGAUGGCAAACGAAUGCAUCCUUCUGAUCGCUGUAAUGAGCUCAGGGAAAGACAUUCUCGCUGUAGGGUGGGGAAAAGAAAGUGAAAAAUUGCGGGCCGUGGGGAUAUUUUUAUUUUAGACACGACGUCCAUGAUCUUUCGGCAUCGAUGAUUAUUGAUGAUGCCAGCUAACGACUAGGAAAGGGAAAUAUAAAAGAAAUGGUGUGUGAAAAAAAAUUUUUUAAAGUAUUCUUUUAUAGUUUUGCUGAAAUCGUUUCUCUUAUUCUUGUACUGUUCACUUACCUGUAUAUUUUAAAUGCAGCUGCUUUGAGGGUUCUGUUAAACAAAACAUUACAUCAGAUGCCUUUAUAAGACCCAAUCGCGGGAAAGGAUACAAAAUAGCGCACAGAAGGACAACCAUAGCUCAUUGGCUGACCUCGGCUGAACCCCGUGACGUCACAAUGCGAGAAAACAUGGACUUGAUGACCGGAAUGACAGACCAGCGCCUGCUGGUGGCUUGUUUUCUCUCCCUCAAUCUUUAAUUAGAACUGAAAGAAGGGGACACUUUGCCAGACUUCUUGCAAAAUAUUUCUAGCAUUGCACAGUUCUAAUUAUAUCAGAGCCCCAACUAUCAUCAGCCUGUAAAAUCUAUACUGGCGAUGAAACGACCAUAAAGUUUCAGUUCUACUCCCACAUCCACAAUUAAAAUCACUGUCAGGGCAGUUUAUUAUGGAAUCUUAUGGCAGACGGUUGGAACUUUUGUAUUACACAAAGAUUAUAAUUUCAGAAACGUCAGCUGGUUACCAUAGAAAUAAAUAACACAACAUAUUUGAUGAAAGUCUCUGACACUCAUUACCAUUAUCAUCAGCAGAUAUACUUUGGAGAAGUACGCAUGCUCAUUGUAGAGGGACAUGCGUGGUUGAGUGGAUAACUGUGCUCACGACACUGGGAUUGGUUGGGUCUUCCUCGGAAACGGUUCUUGCAGGUCCAAGACCAGCAGCAGCGCGAAAAGCACGUCCCCCAAACCCUCCUGCUGCUUGUUCUCAGCUUUGGUAUCCUGGCCGUUAGUAUUGUCUUGCGGAGGGCCAAGACGAAUGGUUAAAAUGUUGCUUGAAAUGGAAGGAUUUGGGAUGUAAGAUCUUCAGUCUUUGCGAUUCCGGAAUCCCACAGUCAAGAAGCUUUAGAAGGCUGCCUUCACCUUUGUUCUGUUGUGCCGCAAUCCCCUUCGGCUUCAUACGAAAGAAAUGGCGGCGAUCUGAAAAUCCUUCAUUUUAUUGUCCAUGUGCAGUGUAGGUCUCGGGUCCUUCAGGGAUUGACGAUGUACAGAGGAGGGUACAUCAGUGGAAGCGACGAGUACCUUGACGAAGUACUAGCACGUACUCGACCUCUCUCCUCUGCGGAGGAUCAAGUUGGCUGAUUGUUUAUCUGUUUCUGUUUUCUGGACUUACCCGUAACUAAUGGUGAAAAAGAGAGAGAUAUCGCCAAACGACAAGUCGGAAGCAGCGGCAGGAGGAUGUGGUGAUUUCACGGCGAUCAGGCAUCAGACAUGACGAAGGAACAAGAAAAUAUCGAAAGGGUGUGUGUGUGAGAAACGGCGGGUCUGAAAAUGGGGGAGGAAAGUGGGAAAAAAACCCAGAAAAUAAAGAAAGCUGUGGACAUCCCCUGAAGCAUCUGUGGGUCAGAGUUCAGCAGGCACGCCGUACAUCCUAGCAGGCAGACAGGCUAGUCCAGCCCUUCCAUCAGGGGAGGAAAUGCAUUUUGCUGAUGGCGGGGGCUUUGUUUUUGUUAAUGAGUGGAGGGUUCACAGUCGGGAGGGGGGUGGGGAGGAAGGGUGGGGAAUGGAUAGCAGUUGCUCCCAAACGAGGUAUUUAUCUUCCUUAUCAUGACCCGCCGAGCAAGAUGACACGAUGCUCCAUGAUUAAUAGCAGAUGCAGAAUUUCCAAUUUUCGCAGAAUACCUAAUGUAUUUUCAUCAGUCUUGCAUCUAAUAUUUGGACGAUAGGUGAUUAGCUGCUCAUUCCAAGGAGGGGUAAGAUUGAGGGCAGCGUGGGGGGUGGAAUGGGGGGUGGGGACAGAAGUGGAAAGAGAAAUUGAGUUGUGGGCGUAAUGCAUUGCGAGAUACGGAGCAUGUCUUGCCGGCCGUGGGUAUCACGUGGUGGUGGGUCCAAACCUCGCUGGCAACUGCAGACGCCAGCAGAGAAACCGGCAACGAACGUUUUUCUAAUUAUAGAUCAUCAGCAUCAUCUUCACGAGUCACUUGAUGAAGAUAUAACCGUUUGACGAACUAGGCAGGGAGAGGAGAAGUGGGGAUGGAGAGAUGAGAGAGAAAAUCAAGAUGGGGUGGUGGGAGGAAAAGCUACCAUCCAAUACCCUGUCACUAAACUCCUUUCGAACCAGGUGUUCAGUCCUGGUAAAGUCACGGGAAAAGUUUUCAGAAUUUCAACUUUCCAAUGGGGAAGGUUUUGCAUGGAAGCCCAGUGUGGGAUUUUUGUUUUCUCUUUUUCUUUGAGACAUUAAAAAAAGAGGAGAAAUCAACCCCCCCACCACCACCACCAUCCCUACCCUUCUCAAGCAGUCGACGGGUGGCACUACUGCCAAGAGAGUGCUAUUCUCGUUACGAAAGAACACGCGCAUCGGCCACCAGGUGGUCUUCGCUUACAUCAUUAAUCAAGACGACGGGUUAAGACAUGGGAAUGGAGGAUGAGGGAGGGUGGAGGUAGUCGAAGUGCGGUUUUUAGUCGGCAGAGCAUGCGCAUGCGCCUACAGGUGACAAAAGAAAAAGGUCUUAAUUUGCGUAUCGGAUUUCUCCCUACAAUUGCUAUUGUCUGAAUCGAAGUGAAGCAAACUUGAUGGAAGGGGGAAAAAAUCGGUCGGUCCGUUUUACGAAGAAGUUUACUUCCGUGUUUUCUUAAAUUAAAGAUAAGGGAAGAAAAGCGGGAAUUAAUCAAGAGCUGUUGCCUGAUCAGCUCACCGGUUACUGGAUUUCAAAAGACGACGUCUGGUUGCAGUACUUCAUGGCAGGGCUAAAAAUUUGAAAAAAAUAAAAAUAAAAAAAAAAUAAAAUAUGGGCGGCCUUUCUUACCAGACAUCCCACUGCCUUUAACAACCGCUUGAUGAGACUAAAACAGAUAUCAAAUCAUCCAACAUGGACAGAUUGUGGCGGCAUCUUUGAAGAGACGAAGGGGGGAAAAAAAAGAAAACAAAAAUUUACUGGGCCUAUGGUGUUGCUUUUGGGAUUGAAUUUCAGUAAUCGAUCCUCGGAUAAAACAUGGCCACCGGGCGCUUAGUGUAAACCCGAGUCGGCCAGCGAUUGAUUGAAACAGUAAGCAGUUCCCCCCUCGAAAAAAAAUUAUCGCAGUUGUCUGUCUUUUUUUGCACCGACAAGUAGGAGUGUACACAGUUUUCAUUAAGGUUUCUGUACCUAGCCGAAAUUUUAGUUUGCAUUUUUGGCAUUCGCUUGGUGGGUAUGGUGGUGGGCGUGGCUUGGCGCCUGCCGCACUUGCAGUCUUUUGUAAUCGCUGUUUGUACGGCGCUACGUUUGUAAACAGACUUUUCAUUCGCUUUGUUGCACGUUUCCGUGAUUGGUCUAUUCACGUUCGAGGGCUGACACUCGGCCAACGCUUAUCUGGAGAAUAGAUGCUAACAGAUUCUUGUAAUCAGCACGGCUUGUUGCCCUUGACUUGCUUCUGGAGGUGUGCAAGAUGAGGUUGGGGUCCUCCAUUCCGCUGGCCAUCCGGAGCUUGUUGGACGGGUGUAAUUUUUCAGAAGCAUCUUAUUGUGGAGAUGAAUGCUGUAUACCAUGAUAUUUUUUACAAUAAAAGUUUGUAUUGUUUUAAAGGGACCUUGCUGCUUUUUAAAUGAUUUCAAAUGAGAAAUAAUCUAAGCAUCAUUUUUUUGAUUAAGUCCUGACGUAUUAGUGCAUUGUUGUUUGUUUUUGUUUGUUUGUUUGUUUUUUCUUGAGGGGGGUGUAAGCUGUGUAGGUGUAAGCACCAUUAUGUUGGGUAGGUGGCUGGAAGGCUUUAGUCUGCAGUUCCAGCAGUCGCCUGAGUUCGUGGUCUCUUUUCGGUGAGGUUAGAGAGUUUAGUUCAGCCUUUCACGUUACCCUAGAUACGGUGAACCACUCACAGUUCACUGCAGCUACGGUCACUAAAGACUAUACGACUGUUUUAUCUCCCUCCCCCCUCAAUAUUUUCUAACCGCAUAAUUUCCACUGUAGGAUAACCGUGGUUAGAGCUUUUGUUAGGCGAGUGGCAGCUGACUGCCAGGACCUAUUGGGCGCCAUUAUCUGUGUGUGCGCACCUUCGUGGAGCUCGACCUCUCGUGCUACGCACCUCGUUUGCACGGCGUUAUUACUCGAGUUUAUACGCGUUGUCAUGCGCGGUCCCUCCGCUCGGAUCAUAGUUCCGAUAAUUGGGGGGACUGGCAAGAGGGAACCGGCGUUUAACGAGGCUGCGACGUAAUCAAAGGACGGUCUGGAUAAUGGCGCAGCGAAAAUGAGCACGCGCAAACUGGGGACGUUAGAGAUGCCAACUGCCCAGACAUGUGCCUGUUAGGUCCUGAUAAUGUGGAGUGCCACCACUGCAUCUUUUGUGCGCUGACAUUUGAGACCACAGCCGCACUAUAGACACAUAGGUAUUAAACAGAAAAUAAUAUGCUGCGAGCAGGUAUGCGGGACAUAUAUCUUUUAUUCGCCCCUUAAUUGUGGAAUGGUUGGACGGUCUGAUCGGAACUUAGUUCGAGAGUGUGUUUGUCAAUAGUAGAUGAGCUUAAUUUGGACUUUACUUCUGACACACACACCUCUCUUUCUCUCUGUGUGUGGCGGAGGAGGGGGAGAGGGAGACUUUCUGGUAGCAGGGAUGAACGGGGCUGAUUCUAAAACAUCAGAGCACCUGCGUUGUAAACGCCUGAAGUGCUAGCUGGGAUCCUUGCUGCACCCUCUCUGGAUGGUGAUUUGGCGAGACAGGUAGACAGCGAGAUGCAGGCCUUUCCACACCAGUUUUACAACCCUGAUAUCAGCACGAAUCUUUUUCCCAGGUAGAAGGGAAGUUAUGGAGCAUAGGGGGAAGAAGAUUUAACUGCUACUUUCUGUCCUUAUCUGUUUUCGCGGCUUUUCAAGGAGGCUGUUUUUGGGGUGGAUGGGUGGAUAAGGGAUAAGGUGCUUGUUUAUUUAUCAGGCUUGCGUGUCGUCGGGUUUCUUUCAGAAACUGACGUACUUGACAGGUUCCAUUUUAUUCACAUUGCCUGGCACAAGUAGUUUUCUUACAGCCAUCAGGCUCAAACGGCCUUAUCGUAUAACUUUCACAGACCGUCCGCGCAUGCGUGAAUAAUAUGCGCGCGCCGCCCGUCUUGCUUGACAUGGAACAACAUCGGACCCGGUCUGCACGAGCCAUCAGCCUCUCCCUCCCAUCUCACUCCCCCGGACCCCUCCAUGCACCACCCAUGCUGACUAAUACUCGCACGAAAAAGUGUAAGUAAAAAAAAAAAAAAAGUCGCUGGAGGCUGGGAUUUGAACGCUGUAGUCUUCUGUUCCCGUACUGCAAACUGACAGGCGGCCCGCUAAGCGCAUGCGAUCUAGGGAUGGAGGUGAGAAGGGAGGAAGGUGAGAGAGGUUCUGAAAGAACGAAGCCUCGGCUGUCAAUUGAUCCACUUGCCGUCACAUUACAUAUCGGAUGAAUUGGUUAACCACGGGAUAAGAACUCAACUCCGCCUUUUAGGUCUCUCUCUCUUGCAGCUCGCAUAACAAGGGUGGACUCUGCGGCAGGUUCCAUCAGCCGCUUGCCUGAUGACAUUUACGCCGGAAGUGGGUGAUCGAUGCGUCACUUCCGUUGCCAGUCACCUGGAGACUGCAUCUGUAAGCACGUCGACCUUUGACCUUCCUGUAAAUCACCUUAACCGAAGAUAAUGUCUAGGCGCCUUCUGGCCUUGACACUCAAGAGGAUGCUCACCACGAAGGUCACACAUUGCAUCAUGGGUAUUUCUGAAUGAUGCGGCUAGCCUCCGAUGCCAGCAUCGGUGGAGGAUGGCGAGAAAUAAAACAGUGAACGCCAAGGGAAUGCCGACAUCGUCAGCAAACAUGGAGAGAAGUGACUGUUAGUGCUUGCUGUGAGAAAAACUCAACUCAGUAGAUGUUUGUCUGUUAGUGUAAGCUGUUACUGGACUCAUGCUCAUGAAGAUGGUUACCACUGUGGUAAUUAUAAUCUGUCGUUGUGUCCGGUUUAGUAUUCAGAGCGAAAAUGUAAAUGUCUCGUGAAGGCUUCAUCUAAAGAGAUAGAGUACUGCGUCUACCAUUUACAGUUAUUUUACGUUUCGUAGCUUAUAGUCCGCGGUAUGAUAAUCCUUGGGAUAAAACUAAUUAAAUCUUGAAUCAAAAUUUAAGAUUUAUAAAUUCAUUGAAAACUCUCGGUGCAUUGGCAGGUCAGUUUGUGCUAUCUGGAAGUAGCAACGUGUAAGGGAAGUAAUGCUCAAGGAACUGAUCCGUCGUCUUAAGUGUAAUCUGCCUGAUUAGGAAACGUGGCAUCAAAAGCUUAUUUGGAUUAGUUGUGGGUAAGUUGACAAAGCAAGGAGUUAGAUAAAAUAGCAACCGGGUUGCUAUAGUGUGUCUGUUCUAAAAACCUAUUCAACGGAAUAAAAAAGUAAGAAUUAAAAAAAAAACGUUUUAGUAAGGUGAAGAGAAGGUUACGUCAGAUGCUUUAGGUUUUUUUAUUUAAAACAUUUAGGGCAUUAUUUUUUUUUUUUUUUUUGCCUUUUGCAAAGCUAUUUAUAAUUGUCUUAGUCAUUUCUAAAUGGAAGGUACAGGAAUAGAUUCUGUUCGAACUUCUUUAUCUUAGCAGCAUAGUGCGCUUGAUCACUGAAUCAUAACAUGAGUGCUGUAGCGUAUCAUAAUCACCGUAGUGCCACCUGAUUCCGUAGUGCAACAUUCCGUUGUGUCGCUUGAUCACCGCAGUGCAGCCUGACUCCGUAGUGCAACAUUCCGCUGUGUAGCCUGAUCACCAUGGCGCAGCUUCAUCGCCGUAGUGCAGCCUGAUUACCGUAGUGCAGUAGGAUUCCGUAGUGCAGCAUUAUUAUCCACGUAGUGCGGUCUGAUCACUGUUGCGCAGCGUGACCAGAGUAGUGUAGAUAACGCGGCCUCACUAGGUAUCGGCCCACAGACAGGAAGCCUGUUCCGUAAGCUUUGUCUAGACAGCCAGUGCCCCGGCUGCUGCUGCACCCAGCAAUUACCCUGCGCCAUAUUACAGAGAUGGGAGGAACAUUUAAACCAGCGGCGAUCUCGCGGAACUUUUUAAUUCAGCCACAUUUGUGACGGCCUCGUGCAGUCCCAGCGCCACAACGCACGCAUGCGCACUGCUGCACUGUGACCCUCCGACAAACUCGCGUCGUUAAAUAACCCUACGCCCAUCCUAAACCCCUAAAACCCUAACCCAGCCCGCCUCACCGUGUACUUAUUCUGCAGCUGUUGAACUUUUAUAACCACUUGCAUGUAAACUUCUCGGCCUUUAUAUACCCAAUGCCUACUGUGAUCAUUAUUUUUAUCAUUCUGAAUAUUAUUCAUUCCCCUCUCUAGUCAAUGGCAGAAUCAAAUAUAAACUAGAAAGCUUUAGCUAUACAAACACUUUUUUGCCUCCUUGUUUUAUAUUAGACUCAGGUCAUAUUCGUACUGUGUAUUAUUACACAUCGUUAAACGUACAGUGGUGCUUCAUUCUACUCUUUUUGUCAAUAUAUACAUAUAAUACUCACAUGCCGCUUUGAUAGUACGCAUAUCUUGAAUAAUAGCAAGUCGAUCUUUGUUAUGUAGCAAUAUGUGAUGUAAUCUCUUCUUCUCGAAAAUGACAGAUCUGCUAUUGUUUGUGUGUUUUUGUGUGUAUUUACUUCUCAGAACUAUUGCACAGAAUGCUUUCAGAUAUGUUACGGCGUGUUAGCUGAAAAAUUGUGAUUGUUGGAAGUUCUGUUUAGGUUCUGUGAUACGUUUGAUCUCUCGAUUUAAAUAAUUAUGGGGGUUUAUUUUUGUCCGUCUUGAAAUGUUAAUACGUUUUUAAGAUGAAUUUUUUGUUUAUAAUUGUUCGAAUUUUUAAGAAAAUUUUUUAAUUUUGCCUUUUUUACAUGACUGUUUGAAUUUGUUUUUAAUUUAAUUAGUUUUAAUUUAAUCUUUCAACUUAAGAGAUACUUUUUUUAAAACUGAAAGAUUUUUUACAUGUGUGUGGCCGGAAUGUGAAAAUCGACGUUUAAAUUUCAACUAGCUAUUAUACUGAAGCUUGCUGUGUACUUUAAAAUUAAUUUAUUUGCUUUAAGGUAUUUGCAUUAUUAAAAUGAAUCUGAAGUAAGAAAAUGCCAGUAUAUCUUAAUAACUUGCUAUCUUUGUGUACUUAUUAAUCUGCUUGGCUUUAUAACCAGGAAACUCGAAGCCCCCAAUGCCUCUGGGAUUUUAUUUGCUUUUUUAGGGUUUUUGGGGGAGGUUUUUUUGGGGGGUCCCUUGUGCGCCUGCGCUGAAUUAUCUCUCCCAUUCUCUAAUUAUUCAGGCAUAGACAUGCUGAUAUUGUUGCUGGGCCUCUUUUGUCCAUAACUCUAGACGAUACCGUGCUUUCUAUUUGCCAUCUGCCAGCUCUUCUGAUCUUGUGAAAACCAGACGAGAUAGCGUUUGGGGCUGUGAGAAAGUGUUGCAAGUAAUGUGUCACUUUACUACAAAGUCUGUUCUGUCAUUCUGAUAUCCGUCAUUGUGCGGGAUCCACUGAAUCACGUUAAGACGCCAAGAGAACAAAGAUUUUCUUAGGAUCUUCAUGGCCUAUCGUUGUUGUGUGCAUGUAUGCAUGUAGGGGAGAAUGGAAGCUAAUCCCACCACUGGUAGCCACGAAUACUUCAACCGGCUAAAAGUAGCAGCCUUUGUUUCAGUAAAUUCUGCCACUUUUACAACAUUUAUUGUUGUUGUCUUACAUAUUUUCUUGCAUUCCACCUUACUUCUUGCAAAUUGCUACUCUUGUUUCUGAAUCCAAGGAUCCUUGUGGAUGUAGAGCCUUACGCUAUUGCCAAAACAUUUAUAGAGAUCCGUGAAGAUGUCGACUUUAGCUGAUCAGAUUUAUGCAUUUCAAAUUGUCCUGGAUCUGAGACGAUGGACGGAAUUGGUUCAUUGAUGUUUGUAAGCUUCCCUAACCCUACACACUAGCAAGGCUUGUGUUUCCGUUGCCUGUCGCAUUUCUAGAAUGUGACAAACUUUUCUGCGGUUGUGUGCUUUUUGAAGAACUUUUCCAUUGAUGGUAAUUUCUGCCUUCAGAAAGCAGAUGGUGUGGCGGUUUGUAAGUGCACGCUUGUGUGCGAUGUACAUGUACACGUGGUAUAACGUCAACGUAUUUUCAACAUAAUACUUCAUCUGUUCUUUACUUAAAACGAACGAAAAAUCUAAAUAAAAUAACAUUUAUUUUAAAUUAUAUCAUUGUCUCCUUGUAUGAAAUCAGUAUGCACAAACUACAUUAAACUCUUUUGUAUCUUUACCUGUCAAGGAUAAUGAAUGUCGAGACAGGGAUUUAAAAAAUAUUUUGUUUAAUAUAGGUUUUUGUUUCUGAGCUUGUAUCAAAUAUUCUAUUGGUGUCUCAGGAAGUUUCUUUUCUUAUAACAUAGACACUAAAGGCAUUUCCCAGCAACCAAUUCUCACAGGAAGCUAAAUAGCAAUAACAAAUCGUUCUCAUCCACCAAGAUCUGAUCUCUCAAACUAUCAGAAUCUCUCUAUUAUUCACUUACUAACGCAUGAACACGUUUGAAAAUAUAUGAAUAUAUUAAUUGCUCGUAAAACUGAUCGGCAAGAGAGAGAGAGAGUGCUGAUGGAGAUAUAUACAGUCUUCAUGAGUUCUCGAGUUCCUUGUCCGCCUGAUAUCAGUUUUAAAAGAAAAGAAAAAAAAAAAACCACGCCUCACAAUAGCCGUUUGUAAUCUCAGACUUGUGUAAGCCAGUUUCUCUUUGUCUCCGUAUCGUUGCCUUACUCGUCUGUUACAUUUCGCACUGCGAACGAAAUGUGAUGAUGCAACAGAAGCUGGGGUUUGUUUGUUUGUUUUGUUGAGGGGCUUUCUUUCGGUCUGUGAGGUUGUGCCUCUCUGCUUGUGAUGUGACCUCUGGUGAACGAGAGGCAUGUUGAGUUGUGGUUUUUAUGUCAGCUGCUUUUGCUAUUGCCAAUAAAUAUAACAACAACAAACAAAA